GGCGGCGUAGCCGAGUGGUAAGGCAAGGGUCUGCAAAACCUUUAUGAGUGGUUCGAUUCCAUUCGCCGCCU
rnacentral:tRNA from 1 species